rnacentral:rRNA from 1 species
AGAAUCAACGCUGGCGGCGUGCCUAACACAUGCAAGUCGAACGCGAAAGUGGAGCAAUCCAUGAGUAGAGUGGCAAACGGGUGAGUAACACGUGGGUGACCUGCCUUCGAGCGGGGGAUAACGUCCCGAAAGGGACGCUAAUACCGCAUAACAUCCUGCCUUUUAAGAGGUGGAGAUCAAAGCCGGGGAUUCGCAAGGACCUGGCACUUGAAGAGGGGCCCGCGCCUGAUUAGCUAGUUGGUGGGGUAAUGGCUCACCAAGGCAACGAUCAGUAUCCGGCCUGAGAGGGCGGACGGACACACUGGGACUGAGACACGGCCCAGACUCCUACGGGAGGCAGCAGUGGGGAAUUGUUCGCAAUGGGCGCAAGCCUGACGACGCAACGCCGCGUGGAGGUAUGAAGACCUUCGGGUCGUAAACUGCCUUUCGCAUCGAGACGAAAUGGUUUUCGGAGUGAAUAAUCCGGAGUACAGUCACGGUACCGCAGCAGAAAGAAGCCCCGGCUAA